UACAGAGGGUGCGAGCGUUGUUCGGAAUUAUUGGGCGUAAAGGGCGCGUAGGCGGCGCCACAAGUCACUUGUGAAAACUCUGGGUUCAACUCAGAGCCUGCAAGCGAAACUGUGGUGCUGGAGUAUGGGAGAGGUGCGUGGAAUUCCCGGUGUAGCGGUGAAAUGCGUAGAUAUCGAGAGGAACACCUGCGGCGAAGGCGGGUUGCUGGGCUGACACUGACGCUGAUGCGCGAAAGCCAGGGGAGCGAACGGG
rnacentral:rRNA from 1 species